rnacentral:misc_RNA from 1 species
CAAAGCUGCCGUAGCCGUAGGGGUUGCUUCUUUUUUGUUAAUCAUUUUCUAACAAUUUUGAAAUCAAUACCAGAAGUGACACAAAAGACAACACAUUACGGCUUAGUUCACUCAACCUGUCACCCCCUUUGUUCGUAAAUCUUUGUCCGAUUUCCUCUCAGGCAUGUGACUUCCAUAAAUCCCACAAUCAUCACUAACAAAAAAGCUUAAACCCACUUAUUUACUCUUUUCUGCCUACAAAAUUUCUUAAAAUAUAACCCUUUAACCAGUAAUUGAGAAUGGGCGGCUGUACCCAACAGCUACAGCCUUGCCUCCUUGUGUACUCCUUAUAUGUCAUAAUUCAUUGCACAAUUAUUGCCCACUUCUUUCUCUGUGUUGGGAUUCGGGAUUUCAAGCUUUUGUUCACUUCAAUUGAGGACUUUCAUCGAAAACGCGGGGAGGAACAGCGAUAUAGUGAGUUUUAGGUAGACAAAGAGCAAUGUCUCUGAGACCCAGUUCGCGUACUGAGGCACGAAAAAAAUCCUACAAGAGUGGCGUCGACGGAGAUGAAGCUCGACGAAGGAGGGAGGACAAUUUGGUUGAGAUUAGGAAGAGUAAGAGAGAGGAUAGUCUUCUUAAGAAAAGGAGAGAAGGGCUUCUUCUUCAAUCUCAGAAUUUAAGUGAGCUUUCACAAGCCAAUGCUGGGAUCGACAAAAAGGUUCUUGUAUAUUUUAGACUGCCGAUUUCAUGUUUUUAAUGUUUACUUUGUUAGUUUAGUUUCAAGCUUUGUGGUUUUGAUUUUGUCUGCAAUGCUGUUUGAUUUCUGGGUUGAUUGAUGGGGUUAUGACAUUGGUGAAACAGAAGAGAUAUCUGAGGUUGGAAGAUUUUAAGUUUAUCAGUCAUUGGGAGAGAUAAGGAACGCCUAGUUAAAUGAGACUAAUUCAACUAUUUACUUUAGAUAAUCUAGCUGAUUGCUAUUGUAAUGGCAACCUAAAGAUGAAUUCAGAAGAGAUAAAGAACUUAUUUUUAUUGUCUUUUCCUUCUUUGGAAUGAAAUUUCAUCACUUGUUCUAAUUCUCAGCAUUGAUGGCAGUUAGAAAAGCUUCCUGUAAUGGCAGAAGGAGUGUUAUCGGACAACCCUACCCUGCAGUUGGAAGCCACUACUCACUUCAGAAAGCUAUUGUCAAUUGAGCGCUGCCCUCCCAUCGAUGAGGUGAUAAAAGUAGGUGUUGUUUCUUGCUUUGUGGAGUUCCUGGAUAGGCAUGAUCUGCCUCAGCUCCAAGGUUUGAUUUUUGCUUCAUUAUCAGUUUGAAGCGGCUUGGGCAUUAACAAAUAUUGUGUCUGGGACAUCAGAACAUACACGUGUUGUUAUUGAUCAUGGUGCUAUCCCCAAAUUUGUGCAACUUCUUGGCUCUGCAAAUGAUGAUGUCCGGGAACAGGUUGACUUGAAUCUUGUUCGUUUCCCAAACUCUAUUGUUUGCUUAAAGCAUGUGUAACCCCUUCCUUUUGUUAACAUCCAUGCCAAAUAAGCAGGCAGUGUGGGCAUUGGGUAAUGUUGCUGGUGACUCUCUUAGUUGUAGGGAUCUUGUUCUUGGCCAUGGUGCACUAAUGCCAUUACUUGCACAAUUCAAUGAGCACUCAAAACUAUCAAUGCUAAGGAAUGCUAGUUGGACGUUAUCAAACUUCUGUCGUGGAAAGCCACCAGCUCCAUUUGAGCAGGUUCAGCCAGCAUUGCCAGCCCUUCAGCACCUUAUCUACUCAAUCGAUGAUGAAGUUUUAACUGAUGCCUGCUGGGCACUUUCUUAUCUUUCCGAUGGCACAAAUGACAAAAUUCAGGCUGUGGUUGAAGCAGGCGUUGCUCCACGACUUGUGGAGCUUCUACUUCAUCCAUCAACAACAGUCGUUGUACCUGCACUUCGAACUGUAGGGAACAUUGUCACGGGUGAUGAUGUGCAGACUCAGUGUAUAAUUGACAAUCAAGGGCUCCCUUGUCUCUACCAACUUCUCACACAAAACUACAAAAAGAGCAUCCAGAAAGAAGCCUGCUGGACAAUUUCAAAUAUCACUGCUGGGAAUAGAAAUCAAAUACAGGCUGUAAUUGAAGCAAAUAUCAUUUCUCCUCUUGUACACUUGCUACAACAUGCUGAAUUUGAAAUCAAGAAGGAGGCAGCAUGGACAAUUUCCAAUGCCACUUCCGGGGGUUCCCGAGAACAGAUUCAGUAUGUUUUGGCCAAUCUUGUCCUCCUAUUUCAUUGUUCUCUUCUUCUUUGUGAGGAAAUUUUUAUUGAUGCUGAAUAACAUUAGUUAAUAGGGAGAGCUAGGCAAUGGUCCUUUCUGCAUGGGUAACUGUUGAAGGAAAACAAUAAGCUCUGUUUCUGAAGACCAACAGAUUUGGUCUGACAGUACUGAUAUUCAGAGUCUCGUGUGACUUUCAGUAAUAUUUUCCCUUGACUUGGCGUUGACCUAGUGACUGUUAUAUUUUGAGCAAAUCAGCUAAGUUAGCAUUCAAUAUUUCAAUUACUUAACGUAGUUUUUUCAUCAGUUUACAAAUUUGAGUUAUCAAAAUCUGGUUUUCGGACAAGAUAAAAUUGCAUAUCUGGAGUUAGUAAGUUCUGAGGCUAAUAGGAAACUGAUACAUGAGGAAUUAGUUGGACAACAAAGUCCCUACCAUAUAUGGCCAGCCAAGUACUUAAGCAGUUAAGCUUGAGACUUAUAAUGGGUACUGCCAUUCUCCAUGUUGUAUAUAUUUUAAGGUUUGGUUAUUUACUCCAAUUGUAGCAUACUGUAAUUUUAGCUGCUUCAGUCAAGUAACAGCUUGGACUAUGUUCUUGAGAUUCAUUUUGUUGCCUUUACCUCUACUUUUCCCCUCCAUGAUCAGAAUAUAUGAUUUGCUUAUUAUGUUUGACUUUGGUUGUUUGAUUGAUCAGACAUUUGGUGAGCCAAGGUUGCAUUAAGCCACUUUGUGAUCUUCUGGUUUGUCCUGAUCCUAGAAUUGUGACAGUGUGCCUUGAGGGUCUGGAGAGUAUUCUAAAGAUUGGUGAAACUGAAAUGGAAUUGGGUAAUACCUCAAUCAAUAUCUAUGCACAGAUGAUAGAUGAGUGUGAUGGGUUAGAUAAAAUUGAAAAUCUGCAGAGCCAUGACAACCAUGAGAUUUAUGUAAAGGCAGUUAAGAUUUUGGAGAGGUACUGGAUUGAAGAAGAGGAGGACCAGAAUGUUGUAGAUGGCAGUGGAGACAUGAGCUUUGGGACAAACCAGCAGCCAAGCCUUCCCUCGGGAGGAUUCAAAUUUAGCUGAAAUUGUUGCAAUAGAUGUUUUUUUCAGCUUUAGGGCUCU